AAAUUUAUUCUUAAAAAUUAAACUGUUUAGAAUCUGGACAAGAUUAUGUUUCUCCCAGAAAAACAGGUUUCACUGUAAAGGUUUAGAUGGACAAACGUGUGACCACUUUUGAGAAAGGUUGUAAUAGAUUUUUUUGAGAACCACCAGGUCUUCUUGUUUAAUUUAUAUGCUGUGGAUAUGUUUGUAUGUUUAAAAAGAAAACAUGGAGAACUCUCCAUAUUUUUUAAUGCAAAUGGUCUUAUAAGCUGCUAUGCAAAUUCUAUUAAAAGCUCUAUCUACUAUUAAAGAGUAACAUUCUUGAAGCUUUCAGGGAAGACCUGUAGACUUAAGCACUUUCUCUGCUUUUUUGUAUCUGGUCUUGGACACUUAUGCUGAGUUAUGUUCUUAUUAUUUUCACUGUUUGUAAGCUAUUGAUUGUAUAUAAUCUUUAAACCAUCCAAAUAUCCAGCAUACAUUUCCAUGUCACCACAACCCACUAUUGACGCCAUGAAUGAAAUGGCUGGUUAGAAAGCCAAAGGUCAUCAUUUCUCAAUCCCUAAAUGAAGAGGUAAAAUGCCUGAUCUCUUUCAUCUCAAAGCAUAUUUCUGGUCAGAUCUGAAUAUCUGUGUGAAAGAGACAUUUAAAUUUGAGAUUCUGCUUAAACUUUUAAGUUGAAUUUGACUAUAGCCAUAUUCAUUCUUUGUAUGUAUCUCUAACAGGUCUUUUGUAUGCCUGGUGAUAUUAUACUCUGCCUUGAGUUUAGACAGUUCUUUCAGCUAAAUGUGAAUUCUUAUUGUAGCUUUUUUUCCCCUUCUAAAGAUGAAAGCAGAAUAAUCUACCAUCUGCUACCAUUCUCUCAAGAAUGCUUGGUAACCUAGAAUUUGACUUUGUAUAUAUUGUCUUUAAAAACUGACAGCAGCAGUCUCCCCUGCUGCCCCACCUUUUUAAGAUAUCUCGUUUACUGUAUUGGGUAUAUAGACAAUAAAUGUGUAAUGAUAGACAGUUCUAAAAGAAUUAAAUGCAAAAAGGUGCUUUUACCUCUAGUUAACUCUGAUAUUUUCCAGAGGGCCCCUGGAACAUGUCAGAGGAAUUUUUUCUCAUUAGAGAAAGUAUUUGACUAAUUUGGCUUAUUUAUCUGAUAUAUAUAUAUAUUUACCAGGAAAGCACUGUCAAAGAGAAUGAUGCUAAACUUUGUUACUGAAUGUUUUGUAUUACAGAAAUAUCAGAAUUUCCUUAUGUCAACUGUCUUACAGUAAGCUCUCAUCAGAUCUUUAACCAUUGUCAUCUGUAAGUCUUUUGUCAUUUAUAGUCACUGUUUUGUUAUUCCUAAACUAGUAAAGAACUAGAUUUCAGCAGAACAGGUAUUAGUUACAUAAGAUUACAUAAACUAAAGAAAAUGAUUUUGUGUCUUUUUGUUUCAAAUGUUGCUGAUAAAGUGUUUUAAGCUUGUUCUCUUAAGCUGACAGCAGUUUGGUAAAUGACUAUCUUUAUAAGCAGAAUUGAAACAUCCUUCUCUCUACCUGAUCCCUACAGAGUUUAAAAACUUUCAGUGACUAUUUUUGUAUUCCAUGGCAGUAUGUUUAUUUGCACGAGUACAAUAAGAAUCUGCUUUCCUUGUGAGAAGACUAAUUAAGAACACUGGUUAUACUGCCAGGGCUUUGACUGGAAUGUCAUACCUGAGAGACAUGUGCAUGGAUUCAGAUGUGAACAACUUUAAGGAACUAAGAUUGACUUUAUAAAGCCAACAAAGCCCCUUGGAAGAACUGGCCUGGUACCUUGCUUACAGAGUUCCCAGCAGCCUUACCAGAAGCCACAAAACUGCAAAUAGUAAUAGAAACGAAACCCAGAAUAGAAGCGCCAGCCUUCUGAGGCCCUCUCAACUGACCAGUGAUGGAGACCUAGCUGCGCCCUUUACUGCGCCCCCUUCUCAGCACGAAGCAGCCAGAGCGGUCAUCGCCCCCUUUCCCUAGCAGCAGCUAGGGUCUCUAUCUGUAGA